rnacentral:rRNA from 1 species
UACAGAGGGCUCAAGCGUUGUUCGGAUUCAUUGGGCGUAAAGGGUGCGUAGGCGGCGCGGCAAGUCGGGUGUGAAAUCUUGGAGCUUAACUCCGAAACUGCAUUCGAUACUGCCGUGCUUGAGGACUGGAGAGGAGACUGGAAUUUACGGUGUAGCGGUGAAAUGCGUAGAUAUCGUAAGGAAGACCAGUGGCGAAGGCGGGUCUCUGGACAGUUCCUGACGCUGAGGCACGAAGGCCAGGGGAGCAAACGGG